UGACCUAUGAUGUUUAUUCAACUACUGUUGACGGGCUGCUGUGCACAGGUACGGAGUGCACAGGGAACCUAGUAGGCAAGACCCCUGCCAUCGUGCAGCUUACUGUCAGGUUGACACAGACCUUAAGAAAGAAUAAAAUUUUAAAUAAAUUAAAAACGACACCUGUAAUUUGAGAAGAUGCUUGAUAUCAGAAGAGGAGAAGAGUGGAGAGGGGUGGAGUGGCAAAGGAGAGCCUCCAAACCAAAAGCCUGCGGCAGAGGCCCUAGGAGGCAAGCACUUAACCAUGUUUCAGGACUAGAAACGAAACAUGUGACAAGACCUUUAAAAACAAAUAGAAUGGGAUGGAAUAAAGUUGGAUGAGUAAGCAGGCAUCAAAUCAUUCAGAAACUUGUUGUCCAAGUUGAAGAAUUUGUUUAGUAUUGUAUAAUAAAUGCAGAGGAAGCUAUAUACACUUACAAUUUACAUUUUUUAAAGGCCACGUUGUAGCUCAAUCGGAUAGUUUGUCUUUUGAUGGGAUGUAGUAUACAGUAUCAUCAUGGUAUAUUCCAGGCAAAAAUAUUUAACUUGAAUCUGUCAAGCCUUUGCAUCUAACACAGUUUAUAAAAAAUACAACAGAUAGAUGAACAAACUAAAUGAUGCCAGAGGAAGUAACUAGACAGAUCCAGAAGGUGAAACAUUCUGCAGGAUAACUGGCCCAUCUCUUCAACAAUUUGUCAUGAUAAAAGCAACUGCUUUAUGAAAAGAAAUUUAAGGGACAUAACAGUUUGAAUUGGAUCCUGGUUUGAACAGACUGUCUAUAAAAUGCAUUUUCAGGACCAUUAAAGAAAUAUGAAUG